AACGCAGCUACGAAGCAACCGGAACCGAAGAGGCCUUCCACCUGCAUCGUGUGAACACCUGCACCACAUACAUCAGCACAAGGCGAAAGUUACGAGCGAAUUCUAUGCAAGCGAGCCAAUUUUCAUGUGCAGAGACCACAGUUUUGCGGUAGCUGCCCCACCAGAGGAGGCACUGCCUCUGGCAGGGAGACUGCCGGCUUCAGGAGAGUUUCAUGUGAGCGGAGGGAACGGUAACUGCACGGAGUUCUAAAUGGAAGACGGAAGAUGACAGAUGUAUGCAACCAAAGAACCGAAUCUCCCACAGACACCUUGUCUGUCCGUAUGUCUGUAUGUACGAGUAUCUGUGUGUGAAUGUGAAUGUUUUAAGUGUACUAUUGUAAAUGUCGAAUCGUUGUAAAUUUAAUGAAUGUAUAUUAAAGAUAAUCAAUUAAAACGAGUAUAUACAUGCAAAA